rnacentral:rRNA from 1 species
AGUGAACGCUGGCGGCGUGCCUAAUACAUGCAAGUCGAACGGAGUGGCGCACGGGUGAGUAAUAUAUAGCUAAUCUGCUCCUUGCUGGAGGACAACAGUUAGAAAUGACUGCUAAUACUCCAUAGAAAGGGAUGAGUCUAUAUCGUAUCCGCUAGUCGGGGGGGUCACGGCCUACCGAGGCUAUGCCGCGUAACUGGUCUGAGAGGAUGAUCAGUCACAUUGGAACGGAGACACGGUCAAAACUCCGACGGGAGGCAGCAGUAGGGAAUAUUGCGCAAUGGGGGAAACCCUGACGCAGCAACGCCGCGUGGAGGAUGACACUUUGCAGAGCGUAAACUCCUUUUGUGAGGGAAGCGGUACCGAACGAAUAAGCACCGGCUAACUCCGUGCCAGCAGCCGCGGUAAUUC